AGAAUCAACGCUGGCGGCGUGCCUAACACAUGCAAGUCGAACGAGAAAGUGGAGCAAUCCAUGAGUACAGUGGCGACCGGGUGAGUAACACGUGACUACCUACCCUUGAGUGGGGGAUAACCUCGGGAAACCGAGGCUAAUACCGCAUAAUAUCGAGAGAUCAAAGGAGCAAUUCGCUUUUGGAGGGGUCGCGGCUGAUUAGCUAGUUGGCGGGGUAAUGGCCCACCAAGGCGAAGAUCGGUAUCCGGCCUGAGAGGGCGCACGGACACACUGGAACUGAAACACGGUCCAGACUCCUACGGGAGGCAGCAGUGGGGAAUCUUGGACAAUGGGGGAAACCCUGAUCCAGCCAUGCCGCGUGAGUGAUGAAGGCCUUCGGGUUGUAAAGUCUCUUUCGCACGCGACGAUAAUGACGUAGCGUGAGAAGAAGCCCGGCUAACUUCGCGCCAGCAGCCGC
rnacentral:rRNA from 1 species